CAUGUACUGGUGGGGUCCCUCGGCCUGGCCUGUGCCCUCUCACAAUCUGGGACCCCUUGAGGGAUGCCAGAGAGCUGGUUUUGGCCCAAUCCUGCAGGCCAGGCCGAGGGACCCCACUGGUGCAUG
rnacentral:pre_miRNA from 1 species